rnacentral:rRNA from 1 species
CAGUCGCCACGGUAACACGGAGGGUGCAAGCGUUAAUCGGAAUUACUGGGCGUAAAGCGCACGCAGGCGGUCUGACAAGUCAGAUGUGAAAUCCCCGGGCUUAACCUGGGAACUGCAUUUGAAACUGUCAGGCUGGAGUCUUGUAGAGGGGGGUGGAAUUCCAGGUGUAGCGGUGAAAUGCGUAGAGAUCUGGAGGAAUACCGGUGGCGAAGGCGGCCCCCUGGACAAAGACUGACGCUCAGGUGCGAAAGCGUGGGGAGCAAACAGGAUUAGAUACCCGCGUAGUCCCUGUCUCUUAUAU